GACGUAGGGCGCGAGCGUUGUUCGGAUUUACUGGGCGUAAAGGGCGCGUAGGCGGCCACCGCAAGUCGACUGUGAAAUCUCCGGGCUUAACCCGGAAAGGUCAGCCGAUACUGCGGGGCUAGAGUGCAGAAGGGGCAACUGGAAUUCUCGGUGUAGCGGUGAAAUGCGUAGAUAUCGAGAGGAACACCUGCGGCGAAGGCGGGUUGCUGGGCUGACACUGACGCUGAUGCGCGAAAGCUAGGGGAGCGAACGGG
rnacentral:rRNA from 1 species